GCGUGAUAAUUCGCCCUUUAAUUGUGGGCUCGUAUGAAAGGACAAACGAGAGCUCAGCUGUCUCCCUAGUAGAACAGGAAAUUGUUAUUCAGGUGAAGAAACCUGAAUUUAAAUAAAGGACAAAAAGACCCCAUAGAGCUUUGUUGAACUCCUUACUAACUAAGAAGUAUGCCUACAUUCUUAGUUAGCAAGGUAACAACUUAACUGGGGCGGUUAAGGAAAAUCUUAAACUUCCAUCUCUAGCUCUCUAUGCAAACCAAGGCAAAUACAAGCCAAUACUAAUUUGACCCUUACUUUAAAGAUCAAAGGAUUAGCUACCUUGGGGAUAACAGAUUCAUCCCCCUUAAGAGUCCGCAUUGACAGGGGGGC
rnacentral:rRNA from 1 species